rnacentral:rRNA from 1 species
CCUACGGGGUGCAGCAGUGGGGAAUAUUGGGCAAUGGGCGCAAGCCUGACCCAGCAACGCCGCGUGAAGGAAGAAGGCUUUCGGGUUGUAAACUUCUUUUCUCAGGGACGAAGCAAGUGACGGUACCUGAGUAAUAAGCCACGGCUAACUACGUGCCAGCAGCCGCGGUAAUACGUAGGUGGCAAGCGUUAUCCGGAUUUACUGGGUGGAAAGGGCGUGUAGGCGGGAAAGCAAUUCAGAUGUGAAAACCAUGGGCGCAACCUGUGGCCUGCAUUUGAAACUGUUUUUCUUGAGUACUGGAGAGGAAGACGGAAUUCCUAGUGUAGCGGUGAAAUGCGUAGAUAUUAGGAGGAACACCAGUGGCGAAGGCGGUCUGCUGGACAGCAACUGACGCUGAGGCGCGAAAGCGUGGGGAGCAAACAGGAUUAGAUACCCUAGUAGUC